CUGUUAAAACCUUCAAAUCCUGAUUCUGAGGUCGUUUACUACAAAAAUGGACACUUUAGUCAAUUUCUCCAACUUAAUAGUCCCGAAAUUGGAAUUUGUUUUUCUUUCAAAAUCAACUCCGAACUUUCCAAAAUUAAAUUUCGACCACGCAUACAAGUCAUAAUACCUGAAGUGAAGUUUCUCAGGGUCUCAAACUGUUGAAUGACGCGCUAGAGCUCAAAACGACCGGUCAGGUCAUUACAGCGACCUCGGACCAUCUGCUUGCUUCUACGACCUCGGCCUCAACCCAUGCAUGGUCGCUUCUUCAGACCAUCUACUCGCUUCUGCGACCUCGGCCUCAACCCAUGCCUGGUCGCGACCUCAGACCAUCUGCUCGCUUCUGUGACCUCGGCCUCAACCCAUGACUAGUCGCGAC
rnacentral:lncRNA from 1 species